rnacentral:misc_RNA from 1 species
UCCGAGUUGACCCCGGCAGUAUCCCAUGAGUUCCCACCAUUACGUGCUGGCAACAUAGGACGAGGGUUGCGCUCGUUGCGGGACUUAACCCAACAUCUCACGACACGAGCUGACGACAACCAUGCACCACCUGUAUAGAGACCUUGCGGGGCACACAUUUCUGCAUGUUUCCUCUAUAUGUCAAGCCUUGGUAAGGUUCUUCGCGUUGCAUCGAAUUAAUCCGCAUGCUCCGCCGCUUGUGCGGGCCCCCGUCAAUUCCUUUGAGUUUUAGCCUUGCGGCCGUACUCCCCAGGCGGGGAACUUAAUGCGUUAGCUGCGACACGGAGACCGUGGAAUGGUCCCCACAUCUAGUUCCCAACGUUUACGGCAUGGACUAC